CCUACGGGUGGCAGCAGUGGGGAAUCUUGCGCAAUGCGCGAAAGCGUGACGCAGCAACGCCGCGUGGGGGAAGACGGCCUUCGGGUUGUAAACCUCUUUCAGGAGGGACGAAGGUCAGGCGGUGAACAGCCGUUCUGACUGACGGUACCUCCACAAGAAGCCCCGGCUAACUACGUGCCAGCAGCCGCGGUAAUACGUAGGGGGCUAGCGUUGUCCGGAAUCAUUGGGCGUAAAGAGCGUGUAGGCGGUCCGGUAAGUCCGUUGUGAAAGUCAAGGGCUCAACCCUUGAAUGCCGGCGGAUACUGUCGGGCUAGAGUCCGGAAGAGGCAAGUGGAAUUCCCGGUGUAGCGGUGAAAUGCGCAGAUAUCGGGAGGAACACCUAUGGCGAAGGCAGCUUGCUGGGACGGUACUGACGCUGAGACGCGAAAGCGUGGGGAGCA
rnacentral:rRNA from 1 species